rnacentral:rRNA from 1 species
AGUGAACGUUGGCGGCGUGGAUUAGGCAUGCAAGUCGAGCGAGAACCGUAGCAAUACGGGGACAGCGGCGAAAGGGACAGUAAUGUGUAGGUACCUACCUCCGGGUUCGGGAUAGCUGCGGGAAACUGCAGGUAAUACCGGAUAAUGUCUUCGGACCAAAGGUGUGAUUCCACCUUGGGAGGGGCCUGCAUCCUAUUAGCUGGUUGGCGGGGUAAUGGCCCACCAAGGCGACGAUGGGUAGCGGGUGUGAGAGCACGACCCGCGUCAUUGGGACUGAGACACUGCCCAGACACCUACGGGUGGCUGCAGUCGAGGAUCUUCGGCAAUGGGCGAAAGCCUGACCGAGCGACGCCGCGUGCGGGAUGAAGGCCUUCGGGUUGUAAACCGCUGUCGUAGAGGAGGAAAUGCAGGUGGGUUCUCCCAUCUGUUUGACCUAUUCUAGGAGGAAGUACGGGCUAAGUUCGUGCCAGCCGCCGCCGUAA